AUUCAAAGCUAUGACUGAAAAUGUAUAUAGUCUGCUCAGCAUGCAUGCUGGUACUUGUAGCCCCUGGAUUCAAUGAAGGCCAUUUUGGCUCCACACAGACAUAAAUCAAGGGGGCCCAGCAUGCAUGUGGGACCUGCACUCUCUGGAUCCAUGGUUGCAGU